CACAUGCAAGUCGAACGGAGCUGCUUUGAUGAAGUUUUCGGAUGGAUUUAAAACAGCUUAGUGGCGGACGGGUGAGUAACGCGUGGGUAACCUGCCUCACACUGGGGGAUAACAGUUAGAAAUAGCUGCUAAUACCGCAUAAGCGCACAGUUCCGCAUGGAACAGUGUGAAAAACUCCGGUGGUGUGAGAUGGACCCGCGUCUGAUUAGCCAGUUGGCGGGGUAACGGCCCACCAAAGCGACGAUCAGUAGCCGGCCUGAGAGGGUGAACGGCCACAUUGGGCUGAGACACGGCCCAAACUCCUACGGGAGGCAGCAGUGGGGAAUAUUGCACAAUGGGGGAAACCCUGAUGCAGCGACGCCGCGUGAGUGAAGAAGUAUUUCGGUAUGUAAAGCUCUAUCAGCAGGGAAGAAAGUGACGGUACCUGAAUAAGAAGCCCCGGCUAACUACGUGCCAGCAGCCGCGGUAAUACGUAGGGGGCAAGCGUUAUCCGGAUUUACUGGGUGUAAAGGGAGCGUAGACGGCAAGGCAAGUCUGAAGUGAAAGCCCGGUGCUUAACGCCGGGACUGCUUUGGAAACUGUUUAGCUGGAGUGCCGGAGAGGUAAGCGGAAUUCCUAGUGUAGCGGUGAAAUGCGUAGAUAUUAGGAAGAACACCAGUGGCGAAGGCGGCUUACUGGACGGUAACUGACGUUGAGGCUCGAAAGCGUGGGGAGCAAACAGG
rnacentral:rRNA from 1 species